rnacentral:rRNA from 1 species
CGCCCUUCAGAGGGGGACGAACAGUGGAAACGACUGCUAAUACCGCAUACGAUCCAAUCUCGGCAUCGAGACUGGAUGAAAGGUGGCCUCUAUUUAUAAGCUAUCACUGAAGGAGGGGAUUGCGUCUGAUUAGCUAGUUGGAGGGGUAACGGCCCACCAAGGCGAUGAUCAGUAGCCGGUCUGAGAGGAUGAACGGCCACAUUGGGACUGAGACACGGCCCAG